GUUUUCUGCUUCUCCAUCUCUUUCUCCUAGAAAAAAAAAGUCUCAGGGAAAUAUCUGUCUCCCAGCUUCUGCUGCUCCUUCCCUAUCUCUAUCUGUCUUCUGUCCACAUUCGCCUCCAGGAAAUUCACUGGACUGAGCUCUGGGUUCCGCGGAGCAGAGAAAGGAGACAGAAUUAAAAUUAAAGGAAGGGAAAUAGCAGCUGAUGCCAGAGGUAAAAGUGAAUUUCCUAGCAGUGCCAAGUCAGCAGGGAGGAUCGUAUUUGGUGAACAACAGAGACUGUGUAAAAGACUAAGAAGGAGAGGAUCAAAAUGAUGCUCAUUUGUCAACUUCACACAAAUUGAAAAAGUGGCCAACCAAGGAAUUGUUUUUCUUACUGACAGAAAUAUAUGGGAAGAAUCAAGGACUGCCCCCCACCAAAAAAAAAAAAAAAAAAAAAAAGGAA